UACGUAGGGGGCAAGCGUUAUCCGGAAUUACUGGGCGUAAAGCGCACGCAGGCGGUUCGCCAAGUUUGGAGUGACAGUUGUCGGCUCAACCGACAAAGGACUUCAAAAACUGGUGAACUUGAGGACGAGAGAGGAACAUGGAACUCCAGGUGUAAGUAGUGAAAUGCGUAGAUAUCUGGAAGAACACCAAUGGCGAAGGCAAUGUUCUGGCUCGUUUCUGACGCUCAGGUGCGAAAGCCAGGGGAGCGAACGGG
rnacentral:rRNA from 1 species